CAAUGCGCUUGCGCAUUUCUGAACACCGCUGUCAGCGCUGUAGGCGUUUCAUACUAGAUCUGUUUCUGUAAACCAUCUUGUAGAUUGGGCAGUGCCACUCUUUAGGUCCCGAAUCUCAGCAAUCUCUUCAGAUUCUGUACCUUCUCUAGUCCCCCCUCUUCCCAGUGGCUACAGUACAGGGAGUUGGAGGCGCUCCUUCAGUGAUGUGCUUUACGGACCUCUGCUCUCGUCACUUUUUCUCCUAGUAAGCAAAGCCUCAAAACCAAUUACUGCCAUGACACACACGCUGAUAGACACAGAUAAGGAACACUGUGAACGUCAUCUUCAAUCCAGAGCUUUGUCGAGACCUAGAACUUUGGCAGCAUGGCGUAUCUAAAUGGGGAAGAAUAGCAGAAGCUGUGCUGGCUAGAAGACAUAUUGAUAACACUUUUCAUACCUCCAUUCCUGGCAUGUAUGGAAGUUACCAGAUCGCUGUAAAGACAAUUUGGAGAAAAGGGUAGAAGAGCUGGUAAGUGGCAGAUACCUAGGAGAAAAACCAUCCAAGUCAUUGGGUUUUUUCUUUUGUUUCCAGGACACUGGAUAUCAGUAACCCAUUUAUAAAUCCCAACCCAAGACACAGACAUACCUACUUUAGGUUUUGUUCUUUAGAUGCCACUGAAUACAGCUUUUUUUUUUCAACUUCUUCAGCUCUCUCCAGUUUCUGGGUGUUCCUACCUGUUCAAUGAGGUAUAGGACUGGAUCUUUAAAGCUAGUCUAUAGAUUAACAUAAUCAAUUGAUUAAUGACUAUUGACUCAAGACUGUCAGUCGUAGGGAAUUUGGACACAUAGGAGAAAUUUAAGCAAUGG
ensembl:lncRNA